rnacentral:misc_RNA from 1 species
GUCAGGUGUCUUUCCCACAGCAAGAGCAAUACCCUCAUGCAGCUUCCCUUUCUUUCCCUAGCUAUCCGAGCAAGUCAAACCAGAUAUUCCCCACUCCUUUCUAAGCAUAGGUGCGAAGCGAAAAAGAACCGAUCAACACCAACAGUAUCAACCAAUCGGCGCCUGCCGCCGCCCAGUAAAAAGAACUCAAGAAGAAGCAAAACAGAGGGGUCCCUCCAAAGUACGCCCUCUAACCGACAAGUGAC